GGGGACAAUACAUGAAAAAAUCUCAUCUUGAUUAUCUUCUUCCUCUUCUCUCCUCUCGUAGACCAGAACUCUAUAAACAAUUGGUGUUAUGAGCAUGAAACAAACCUGCCACCUUCAGAACUCACCAUUUUCUCUGAUGUUGAGUGUCAUCUGCUAUAAACUUUAGAGGGAUUAGAUGGAUGAAAAAGUGGAAGAGAUUGUGGAGAUGAAACAACACAGUUUAGUAGAAGAAAAUUAGAAAACACUAGAAGUUUUAAAAGACAUGGAGCAAUCUUUGCAAGAUCAAUUACGACAAGCUAAAAAGAAGUGUAUCAAGCAUGCAAAAAGUUUAUUGGAAACAAAAAGUUAAAAACAAAUCUGGGUAUAAAGAUCCAACCGUUCUUGCAUUUGAAAGACCUUGGUAAACAGCUCCAUAAUUGAUGAUGGUCUUAUUCAAAAGGAGGAAUUCCAGCAUGUAGUUUUUAGAAACAACAAGAAGCAAAAUCUUUUUACAGAUAGAGUAUUUGAUUUGUUCGAUGUUAAACACAAUGAGGUUACUGAAUUUGGAAAUUUUUUGUGUUUUUUAAGCGUAUUUCAUCCUAGUACUCAAUAGCAGACAAAGUUGCAUUCCUAGCCAAUUGUACAUCCUACGACAAUUUGGUUACAUUGAGGGAGAAGAGGUAAAAGAAAAAAACCAUGUUUGUUUCUAAUAAACCUAUCAAAUACUCUUUUGUGGCUGCGUGGAAUCAUCUCUUUUAGUAGAGUAUAUGGUGUUGAAUUUAGAAUAUUGACUUCUUAUUCAUACGGAUAGCGGGGUUUUGCUAUAAUUUUGGUUACUUAAUUUAGUGACAAAUGUUAUGGUGGUUGGAAACUUUACAUGUUUCAGGUUGUUCAAUAUGAGUUUUAGAUCAAUCUUGUUAAAUCAAAA